ensembl:lncRNA
ACCAGCCAAAUUAGUCUUCUCCUAGUUGGCACAGACAGUGACAGUCAGGCCGUAGCACGACAGUCUUGUCCGGAUGCCGUUGACCGCUGCUCUGACGAUAUUCACUUUCUAGCGCUGUAUUUAGGAGGUGUUGGCGCGGAGGAGGGGGCAGAUAUUAUUGAUGAUGAGGUGUGGGUGGCAUCCCUGCUCUCAUCUGUCUCCUCUGGUGGCACUGAAGCUCAGCAUCAGGUAGCUCAAAUGGAAAGAGUUCCCUGUGGGUAGAUGGUCAGCCUGUGACAUCUACUGGCAUGGAGUGUCCUUCCAUGACAACGAUAACAUCCUCUCUGGACAGGUCAACAAGUUCCCAGGUAUGAUAGAGAUGCUGAGAAAGAUCAACCUGAGCCGAGCGGUGAGGACCAUGCAGGAGCUGUUCCCUGAGGAGUACAAAUUCUACCCCCGCUCCUGGAUCCUACCUAGGGAGUACCACCGCUCCUGAAUCCUACCUGAGGAGUACAACUUCUACCACCGCUCCUGAAUCCUACCUGAGGAGUACAACUUCUACCCCCGCUCCUGGAUCCUACCUGAGGAGUACCACCGCUCCUGAAUCCUACCUGAGGAGUACAAUUUCUACCACCGCUCCUGGAUCCUACCUGAGGAGUACAACUUAUACCCCCGCUCCUGGAUCCUACCUGGGGAGUACCACCGCUCCUGGAUCCUACCUGAGGAGUACCACCGCUCCUGGAUCCUACCUGAGGAGUACAACUUCUACCACCGCUCCUGGAGCCUACCUGGGGAG